rnacentral:miRNA from 1 species
UGACUGUAGUACAUCGGAAGCU